CAAUUCCGGUUCCCUUUCAAAUUGAUAAAAUCUUUUGCCUUAUACUAAAGAUUUCUGUGGAGAGGAGCACUCAAAGGAGUCUAGAAAUUUAAUUUUUUCAAUUUCUUGACCUCUCUGGUCGGGU